rnacentral:pre_miRNA from 1 species
GUGGAAUCAUUUCUGCACAAACUAGAGGAUUGAAACCAGUGUGCGGAAAUGCUUCUGCUA